AGGCACCAUGGAGUAAGGCAGGCAGAAGCGUUAGGGAGGAGGAUGACCACCUCUUUUGGGGAAGAAGAUUUAAAACCUGGUCUAUCAUCCAUUAUGUUUCACAGAUUUCCCUAAAGGAGGAAAGAACAGGACUGUAGAUUUAGAACCCAGGAAAGUACUUUCAUAAUGCCAAGGAUCUGAACUCUUCAUUUGAAAAACAAGCAUGCCCACUCAACAGCCAUAGGCAGCAUCUGUCAGUCACAAUCUAGGCUAAUUUGCAAAAUGAGCCUUGAAAGGAAGGUCUUGGUCUUGCUAGAAUCCCAUGAAGCGGUCGAUGAAGCAGACACUGGAAAGGGCCCCUUCCUCCUUCAGAGAGCCUCGUUCUUACACAAGGGCCAAGAAACAGGACAUCUAAGGACUUGGAAGCCCCAGGCACGUGACCCCCGGCCUCUCUGUUCUCCAGCUAAGGAACACUUUAUGGCCUUCACAUUUAUUUAUGUAUUUCCUGGACCUACUUUGUACUAGGCCAAGGGAAGUGAGCUGAAUAAGACCCAGCGGGGUUGAGAGACAUAAAAAUGGCUUAUUGAAAUUCAAUACUCCAAGGGCUGGAAGAGAUGGAUGAGUAGCGAGCCGGAGGAGCACAAAGGAAGGAGUCCCGCUGUCUGCCUAGGGAAUGCUUGAGGAAAUAAGAAUAGCCCACAUUUAUUAAGCACACAGUACAAGCAAGCAGUCUAUUAAAUGCCUUACAUGAUGUAUCUCAUUUAAUCCUCAUGUGGAAGGGAAAGGAACCACAUGUGUCUAUUGAGAAGUGACUGUUCUAAGCACUGUGUUAAAUGCUUUGCAGAAAUGAUUCUGUCUUCUUCUCUUGAUAACUGUGGCAUAUACAUAUCAU
rnacentral:lncRNA from 1 species